rnacentral:rRNA from 1 species
UACGUAGGGGGCGAGCGUUGUCCGGAUUUAUUGGGCGUAAAGAGCGCGUAGGCGGACCUGCAAGUCGGGGGUGAAAGCCCGAGGCUCAACCUCGGAACUGCCUUCGAUACUGCGGGUCUCGAGUCCGGGAGAGGUGAGUGGAAUUCCUAGUGUAGAGGUGAAAUUCGUAGAUAUUAGGAAGAACACCAGUGGCGAAGGCGGCUCACUGGCCCGGUACUGACGCUGAGGCGCGAAAGCGUGGGGAGCAAACAGG